rnacentral:lncRNA from 1 species
GUGCAUGUAUAUUUCAUUUAUAUUACAUAUAACCAUUAUUAUUCUGCGUUACAAUUAUAACUACAGUAUAGUCAGGCAGAUAGAGGAACAAAAAUUAUGGAAAACGUACCAUAUGGAGCGGCAAUUCCAUUUUGUGUUCUUAUUGUGCCCUGAAGGCUAGUUUCUGUUUGUCGCCGGCGUUAAAAUUUCUUGUGGGCUCCUGUCGACACGAAAUUUCAAAUACAUUUCUAAUAAACAUGCAUGACUUACAUAAUUUAAAAGCCUGCAAAAACUACAUGCAUAUAAGACAUUUAAACGGUUACCAGGGUUUUUCAAGUUCCUCUUCAGUUAUGAGCUGUUGACAGCGUGUUCUCAGACUAGUACCCAGGAUUUUUGCGAAAUUUUGACUUAUUUUCCACAUUUGGAACAGCAACAAUAUAACUCGAAAACCACGUGAAAAUCCCAGCUAACCAUUUAAAUGUCUUAUAUGUAGUUUUUUGUAAGCUUGCUAUUGAUGCAAGUCAUUUGUAUUAGAAAUGUAUCUGAAAU